UAGGCCUACAUUUUUGCUGUUUUUAUGAGCUCAUUUUAAUUAAGGGGCUAAUGUUUACUAUUUAAACUUCACAUGUCACAGUUUCUUUUGCAGGUUUAUAUUAUUUGUUCAUUUUAAGGCUGCGAAAACGUGUUUAUUCAUUGUAUGUGUCCACUCCAGACCUCAAUACGAGCUUUUCGUUCAUCAUUCACUAAUAGUGGGGCAUUUUCAGCAACUAAAUAUACACUUACCUAUAUACAUUCAUAUCACUUUAAGCUAAAUUCUCUUAAAGAUGUUUUUUGUCAACUACCCACAAGUACCCCCAACACAUGUGAACUACAUUUCCCAUGAAGCGCAGCUCGUCGCUUCCGUGACGUCUUUGUCCACGUGAGCUUCAUUCAGCUGAGCGCUGCAAGGAUGAAUGGCUGGGGUUUGUUUAAACGAUCUUAUGUUUAAUAUGUUUUCUGCUCACAAAUGUUGUAAGUGUCUUGUAUGUGUAACUCCUGUUUGUUGCUCCCCGGUGUUCUGAGUCGCGUGCAUGCAGUGAAAGCGCACAUCCAUCCGGAUGAAGCUGCACAAACACAUCUGAUGAGACAUAAACGCUCAUUUAACGCAGUGAUAAUUUUUUUCCCGAGCCAUUCAGUGUGGUUUAUAUAACCAUGCCUGGGCUCGGCGUCAUGAAACCAUCACUUGUUCGUGAAAUCACGCCAUAUAUAUUUGUGUAGCAGAGUGAAGUCCUGGAAUGCUCGAGUGCGGGGGUGUCUGUCUGUCCCCUUCACUGCAGUCACACAUCUGACCAGCAUAUACAUGCCUCACACGGCAAACAACACUCAGGAUGAGAAAUAAAUGGCUCUGGAAAUGUUAUUUGACUUGUUUACAGGGGGUGGAAGAUGGAAACGUUGGAAAAAUGGAGCAGAGACAUCAUGGCACCUCAUCAGCUGGAUAAGAAAGCGCAGUCCAAACAAAAUGGCAUGAUUGCAAAGAAUCUGCUCAACUCUCUCAAGAUUCGCAAUCAUUUGCAGCUCCAGCCAAUUUCUCGUUCAGCAUGUGCCACUGGUAAGCACUACAGUAUGUGUUUAUGUAAAUGUUUUCUGUUAUGACAUUCAUAUACUGUGGAUGUCACUGUCUAACAAAAGUUUAUUUCUGUUAACUAUCUUUUUUAGUAUGUUGUCCAUAUGUAUUCAAACCUGAUUUAGCAAAAUGAUUAAUUGUAAAUUGAAAGAAAUGUCUUAUUACUAUUUAUUAAAGAAAUCUUAAAAAAAAAUAAAAACAUUAGAAAUGUAAAAAAUUAAAUCAUAUUCAUGAGAAUCUGUGGCACAAAUUGUAUGUGCUUGUAAAUGCAAAUUUCUUUAAAAUAACUUAUCGUAUGGAACUGUAAUUAAUGUAAGUGACAAUAUUGCAUGAGUCUGAAGGUCUUUUAGCAUUGUUGACAAUGGUUGUUUAUUUUCACUAAUGUGCAGAUAAGUCAAAUUUAGUCGCAGCUGAACGAAUCCUCAGGCAGAUUUGGUCAGAUUUUCUGUUUGGCGCUGUGUCGUGUUAACAAACAUGCACAUAGUCAAUCGGCGGAACAAUAAAACGAUGGAAUGACUGUCUGAAGUGAGAUAUGUGGGUGUAUUAAUGCAUGAGUCGUGUUUUCCAGGAUCAAACAAACUCUCAGCUCCAUUAAUGAGCAUCCUCAUUGAAUCACACACACUCGCUGACUGAUCGGUGCCUUAUAGGGAGAAACUUAAGGGCAGUUCCUUAUCAGCCUCUUGAGCACUUAAGAACACAGCUGAAGUGAAACUCUUGUUUUGCUUUGGGAGAUUUUAUAAUGCCCACAAUCAGCAUGUCAAUAGAACAUCUUAAACCUUGUGGCCUUUGUCAGUUUUCAGGAACCAGAACUAAUAGGAAAAAAUACUGAUUUAAAUGAUUGGGCACUGAUAAACAUUGAUUGAAUUUAUUUGAUUUUUAAAUGAUUACCCAUUACUCUGGGAUCUGAAAAGUGUCUAGAUUAGUGACUCUUGCAUUUGGAAUGGUUUUAGAAGAUCCUCCUUUUUUGCGUACUGUUUUUAUUAUUUUUUUUAUUGGUCUUGUAUCUAUCCAAUCAUCUUGUUUACUCAGAACCAAAUUUUAGAUGCAUAUUUUAAUGCAUCCCUAUGGACCCCUUUACAUCAAACAUGAAGAUUAUUAAACUAAGUAAACUUUGUAUUAAAACACAUUCUCUUGCUUUUGUUCUGGUAUUUGAACUUUUCUGUGUUUGACAAAAUUUGAGGUAAAAGAUCUGUUCAUUGACCUCAAACCCUAUGAUUUGUAUCU
ensembl:lncRNA